rnacentral:lncRNA from 1 species
UCGUCAGCUUUUGCAAGCAUAGAGCCUUGAACUCCUCGCUUCACCAGAACUUGUUUCACUCCCUGUCACAAAGGUUUGUUUCUUAGUUUGAUCUUUUCCUUUCUCUCUCUCUCUCUCUCUCUCUCUCUCUCUCUUCUCACCAUGUCGAGGCACUUGUUUGCAGCACGGACGACUUCCUGCGUUGUCUCCGUCGGCAUGCUCGUGAGACGAGCAAGCUCCGUCUCGUUUGGACUCAAAACCGUGAUAUACUUGAGAAGUUCUUCCGGAAUGGGCGAAUCGAAGCCUCCUGCGUCCAUGAUGACGGGAAUGUCCGCUUCUCUUGCAAUCCGAAAAAGGCAACCGAAGUGUGAGCGAGCUUCGCAACGACGACCAAGGAAGAGAAACUCGGUAAAAAUUCAACUUUGAGUACCUUUGCGGCUUCGAUGUUGACAUCGUCUGGGAUUUCUCUCUGCAGGAGAAGAGCGCCGGCUUUUCGAAUGGUUUCCUCGGCCUGGACGGGAAUGGUCGACGAUCCCG